AUUUGCCAAGAAUGUUUUCUUUAAUCAAGAGCGAAAGUCAGAGGUUCGAAGACGAUCAGAUACCGUCCUAGUUCUGACUAUAAACGAUGCCAACUAGCGAUCGGGGGGCGUUACAUUGACGCACCCCCCUCCCGCACGUACGGGAAACCAAAGUCUUUGGGUUCCGGGGGAAGUAUGGUUGCAAAGCUGAAACUUAAAGGAAUUGACGGAAGGGCACCACCAGGAGUGGAGCCUGCGGCUUAAUUUGACUCAACACGGGAAAAGAGCAAUAACAGGUCUGUGAUGCCCUUAGAUGUUCGGGGCCGCACGCGCGCUACACUGACCGGAUCAGCGUGUGCUCUCCUUGGCCGACAGGUCCGGGAAACCCGUUGAACCCCGGUCGUGCUAGGGAUAGGGAAUUGCAAUUAUUUCCCUUGAACGAGGAAUUCCCAGUAAGCGCGAGUCAUUAGCUCGCGUUGAUUACGUCCCUGCCCUUUGUACACACCGCCCGUCGCUACUACCGAUUGAAUGGUUUAGUGAGGUCCUCCGAUUGGACCCGGUCCGGGCGGCGACGUCCGAGCCGGCGUCCGAGAAGACGAUCUAACUUGAUCAUUUAGAGGAAGUAAAAGUCGUAACAAGGUUUCCGUAGGUGAACCUGCGGAAGGAUCAUUA
rnacentral:ncRNA from 1 species